CCGCAGUUCCAGCAACUCUACAGGAGAAGGCAGAAGAAAGUGAAACCCUCGAUUAACAAACACCUCGCCUGGGUCACAGUCUGACACAAGACACUGGGCAGCACUGCCAGCUUCCUCUCGAGGACUUUAUGUACGAAAAUCACCAUGGUGAGACAUAAAUAUACCGCUCCGGCAGGAUCUAGAGGGAAGGAACUUCUAACUGGAAUCACGAAGGAACUAUGAGAAGCGUGUAUUAGAUUCAAAGAAGCCCCAACAGCAGAUAGGGGACUGCUCCAUCCAGCAGACAGAGGUGCGCUCCAUCACAGACCAAGGAGAGUUCUUCCCACUGCACCCGUCACUCAGUGAACCUGACACACACACAAGAGGACAAGCUGAAAACAAGCCCCUCCCUUCAGCAACCUGGAGAACAGGAUCCUUGGUUCUUCUCUGAUUGACUCAAAGCAUCCAGAAAAGUGCCUGCUCUGUAGUAGGGCUCAAUUAAUAUCUGUGAAAUGACUCAAAUCAGACCUUACCUAGAGAUUAUGUAAUCUGACUUGGAAACAUGCAAAUACUAAAACCAAGUGAGCAAUGGUUCUCUUUGCAUACAAUGCAUUCCAGCAGCUGGGGGUCUGCGGCAGCAGCUUUUGUUAGAAAAGUAGAGGAGGGGCACCUGGGUGCCUCAAUGGGUUAAAGCCUCUGCCUUCGGCUCAGGUCAUGAUCCCAGGGUCCUGGGAUGGAGUCCCACAUCGGGCUCUCUGCUCGGCAGGGAGCCUGCUUCUCCCUCUCUCUCUGCCUGCUGCUCUGUCUACUUGUGAUCUCUGUCAAAUAAAAAAAAUAAAAUCUUAAAAAAAAAAAAAAGAAAGAAAAGAAAAGUAGAAGAAACUAACAACUGGUGAGCCCACAGCCAAUCCCUGGAGCUGCUUUACCAGAGCUGAGUGAGAAAAGCAGAAAUGCGGUUGCCUCUAAGAUUUAAACUUUGAGAUAAACACAUCACGAAUCAGAGCACAGACACACCAGAGACAGAAAAGCACAUGGAUGAGAGGGAUCGUCCGGGACAAAGGAAGGACAGAGCGGGCAGGGGCCCUUGCAGGAAAUGGCGAGACCUCCGGGAGCCAACUUUAAAUGUCCGUGGUUCCUUUGACAAAACCAUUCCCAGUGUGAAACACUCUGCCGAGGGAGCUUAGCAUUGUGCCAUUCAUCUUUUUUAUUCUUUAUCUUCUUUGGUUUUGAUGCUUUUCUUGCAAAACAAACUUCUGACUAUACGAUGGUAACCCCACUGCUGGCUGGUAUGUGGUUGGGUCACGAUUAAAUUACCUUUUUAAAGGCCUUGAUA